CACGCCGUAAACGAUGAGUGCUAGGUGUCGGGGGUCAAACCUCGGUGCCGGAGCAAACGCAUUAAGCACUCCGCCUGGGGAGUACGUGCGCAAGCAUGAAACUCAAAGGAAUUGACGGGG
rnacentral:rRNA from 1 species